rnacentral:lncRNA from 1 species
GUGUAAGGAAUGCAUAGAUAUGGUAAUUCUCACACUUAGAGUAAUAAAAAUGGAGAAUACUUUUGGCUUACUUCCUUUUUCACUCUUCUUCCCUAAUUCAAAUGAGUUUUAAGAGUCAUAAUUUGAAACUCUGCCAUUAGCUCCAUCAGAAAUAUUAAAUGUUAAAUAAAGUGAUGUGUAUUGGCUAUAAAACGAACACCAUUUAUUAUUCUAAGAAUAUAGAAAAUGCUUUUAUGUGAACAGUAGAGAAAUUGCCAAAAAAGCUAUCUUAUUUCAAUCUGUAGACAAGUUAAUGUGCUACUGGAAAAUGCAUACAUAUUCUGACCUAAUUAAUUUCCAGAGCAUUUAUUUGCUUCUGAAAAGAGUGCUCAGAAAGCCCCCCAAUUAAUUCCACU